GGGGGUAUGGCGGAAUGGUAGACGCGGUGGAUUCAAAAUCCACGGAUUGUUUUAUAUCGUGAGAGUUCAAGUCUCUCUACCCCCA
rnacentral:tRNA from 1 species